rnacentral:lncRNA from 1 species
GGAAUGCGGGGUGGGGGGACGCAGGCAGAGGGCUGAAAUAUGGUUCUUAGGACCUUGCGGUCCCACUUUCCUUCUGCUUCCCUGAUAGUUGGGCCGGGGGUGGGGGGUAUGGGGAGACGGGCCCUGAGCCCCCACUCCCGGCUGAGCCGUGACCCUGGGAUGAAGACAGCUUCCCACGCUCAGUGCCCUUGGAAAAGUUCCACGGGACUUCCUGGCCUGGUCUGGAGGCUCAAUCCUCAGGCACGAGUCUCGCAGCCACAGCAACGGCCUCUCAGAGGCAGCCGGACAGAACCUCGACGGUCGAACCAACGACUGAAUCCCAGAGUACAGUGCAGGGUGCCAAGCCCCAGGGCCAGAUUUCAGAGCCAGGAGGGCAUUCCAGGUGUGGGCAGCCAGGCCAGAGACGUGGAGGUGAGGAUGUGUGUGACUUCUGGCUGAUCCAGGCAGCUGAGGGCGUCCGGAGCCAGGCCCACCCAGACUGGCCACCUGGGAGUUCCCCAAUAGCCUGAAGCCUUGGGCUCAGUUUUGUCAGCUGUGAACUGGGGCUUCGUCACUGAGGUAAUUGGUAGUUGACCUGACCCAGAUCUGUGUGCAUCACAACCCCCAAUAUCCUGGGGGGGCUCAGCUGGAGGAGGGGCAGCCCCAUCUGUAAACAGGCCUCUGAGGUUACUUCCUGAGCAGGUCUCAGCCCAGCUGGGGGAGGUGAACGUCCUGGGUUUGGGGGUGGGUGGGUAGCAUGGGUGAGGGCAGUUCAGCCCAGUGGUUGGGGAGCUCGGACUUUGGAAUCAGACAAACCGGAGUUCCUGCUCGGCCGCUCACCACCAGUACCUUGAACAAGUU